rnacentral:rRNA from 1 species
GCUUAUCUGCAGUCGAGGGGCAGCGCAGUGUAGCAAUACAUGGGGCGGCGACCGGCAAACGGGUGCGGAACACGUACAGAACCUUCCUUCGAGCGGGGCAUAGCCCGGCGAAAGCCGGAUUAAUACCCCAUAGUAUGCAGAAGAGGCAUCUCUUUUGUCUUAAAGAUUUAUCACUUGAAGAUGGCUGUGCGGCUGAUUAGGUAGUUGGCGGGGUAACGGCCCACCAAGCCUACGAUCAGUAACUGGUGUGAGAGCACGACCAGUCACACGGGCACUGAGACACGGGCCCGACUCCUACGGGAGGCAGCAGUAAGGAAUAUUGGUCAAUGGACGCAAGUCUGAACCAGCCAUGCCGCGUGGAGGAUGAAGGCCCUCUGGGUUGUAAACUUCUUUUAUUUGGGACGAAAAAGGGACUUUCUAGUUCAACUGACGGUACCAGAUGAAUAAGCACCGGCUAACUCCGUGCCAGCAGCCGCGGUAAUACGGAGGGUGCAAGCGUUAUCCGGAUUCACUGGGUUUAAAGGGUGCGUAGGUGGGUUGGUAAGUCAGUGGUGAAAUCCCCGAGCUUAACUUGGGAACUGCCAUUGAUACUAUCAGUCUUGAAUACCGUGGAGGUCAGCGGAAUAUGUCAUGUAGCGGUGAAAUGCUUAGAUAUGACAUAGAACACCAAUUGCGAAGGCAGCUGGCUACACGAAUAUUGACACUGAGGCACGAAAGCGUGGGGAUCAAACAGGAUUAGAUACCCUGGUAGUCCACGCCCUAAACUAUGGAUACUCGACAUACGCGAUACACUGUGUGUGUCUGAGCGAAAGCAUUAAGUAUCCCACCUGGGAAGUACGACCGCAAGGUUG